GCCGGCGUAGCUCAGUGGUAGAGCAACUGAUUCGUAAUCAGUAGGUCGAGAGUUCAACCCUCCCCGCCGGCUCCA
rnacentral:tRNA from 1 species